GUUUUGUGUGGUGUUCCCUCUCCCUACUUGUACAUAUUGAUUUUUGCUAAGUUUUAGGGUACCUCUCGGGUUCGUUUUCUUUUGACUGCUCUUCUUCUUUUUCACCUAUUUUCUUUUUGGCCGAAUAUACUCUCCUUCCUCAUCUUUUUCUUUUUCCUCUUUCUUUUCGGUUUCUUUCCUCUUUGAUAGCCAAAUACACUUUUCUCCCCUUUUGUCCUUUUGAAUUUCU
rnacentral:lncRNA from 1 species